rnacentral:rRNA from 1 species
UACGUAGGGUGCGAGCGUUGUCCGGAAUUAUUGGGCGUAAAGGGCUCGUAGGCGGUCUGUCGCGUCGGGAGUGAAAACUCAGGGCUUAACCCUGAGCCUGCUUCCGAUACGGGCAGACUAGAGGUAUGCAGGGGAGAACGGAAUUCCUGGUGUAGCGGUGGAAUGCGCAGAUAUCAGGAGGAACACCGGUGGCGAAGGCGGAUCUCUGGGCCAUAACUGACGCUGAGGAGCGAAAGCAUGGGGAGCGAACAGG